rnacentral:rRNA from 1 species
GACGAACGCUGGCGGCGUGCUUAACACAUGCAAGUCGAACGGACAGGCCAUGCUCUUGCGGGGCGCUCGUGUGGCGAGCACGUGAGUAACACGUGUGUAAAAUGCCCCUGACAUUGGGAUAAAUUCUGGAGACUCGGGAUCAAAUAGGAUAGGAGAUACUGCUGCAUGGUGGGGGUUGGUAAAAUUCGGCGGUUGGGGAUGGUAUGGAUGCUUAUCAGCUGGUUUGUGGGGUAGUGGCGUACCAAGGUUUUGACGGGUAGGCGGCCUGGGCGGGGGACCAGCGACAUUGGUACUGAGAGACGGCCCAGACGCCUACGGGAGGCAGCAGUGGGGAGUAUUGCACAAUAGCCGGAAGCCUGAUGCAGCAAUGCCGCGUGCGUGAAAACGUCCUACGGGUUAUAAACCACUGUCUCAGGUAAUGAAGCGGGAGUGACGGUAAUGGGUAAAGAAGCACCGGCUAACUACGUG